rnacentral:rRNA from 1 species
AGUACGAGCGCAAGCUUAAAACUCAAAGGAAUAGACGGGGGCCUACACAAGCGGUGGAGCGUGAGGUUUAAUUCGAUGGUAAACGAAGCACCUCACCCAGGCUUGCAUGAUGCUGCAUGGUUCCAGAAAUGGGAUCGUCCUUCGAGGGUGCAUCACAGGUGCUGCAUGGUUGUCGUCAGUUCGUGUCGUGAGAUGUAUGCUUAAGUGCAGUAACGAACGCAACCCCUAUUGCUAGUUGUAUUUUUCUAGCGAGACUGCCAUGUAUAACGUGGAGGAAGGUGGGGAUGACGUCAAAUCAGCAUGGCUCUUACGCCUGGGGCCACACUCGCGCUACAAUGGGGUGUACAAAGAGCGGCGAGCCGGUAACGGCAAGCAAAUCUCUUAAAGCAUCUCCUAGUUCGGAUUGAAGGCUGCAACUCGCCUUCAUGAAGCUGGAAUCGCUAGUAACCGUAAAUCAGAAUGUUACGGUGAAUACUGUUCCUAGGCCUUGUACUCACCGCCCGUCAAGACAUGAAAGUUGGGGGCG